GUGGGGAAUCUUGGACAAUGGGCGCAAGCCUGAUCCAGCCAUGCCGCGUGAGUGAUGAAGGCCCUAGGGUUGUAAAGCUCUUUCGCAGGUGAAGAUAAUGACGGUAACCUGAGAAGAAGCCCCGGCUAACUUCGUGCCAGCAGCCGCGGUAAUACGAAGGGGGCUAGCGUUGUUCGGAAUUACUGGGCGUAAAGCGCACGUAGGCGGAUUGUUAAGUUAGGGGUGAAAUCCCGGGGCUCAACCCCGGAACUGCCUCUAAUACUGGCAAUCUCGAGUCCGAGAGAGGUGAGUGGAAUUCCGAGUGUAGAGGUGAAAUUCGUAGAUAUUCGGAGGAACACCAGUGGCGAAGGCGGCUCACUGGCUCGAUACUGACGCUGAGGUGCGAAAGCGUGGGGAGCAAACAGGAUUAGAUACCCCAGUAGUCC
rnacentral:rRNA from 1 species